UACGGAGGGUGCAAGCGUUAAUCGGAAUUACUGGGCGUAAAGCGUGCGCAGGCGGUUUGUUAAGUCUGUUGUGAAAUCCCCGAGCUCAACUUGGGAAUUGCAAUGGAUACUGGCAGGCUGGAGUAUGGUAGAGGAAGGUGGAAUUCCCGGUGUAGCAGUGAAAUGCGUAGAGAUCGGGAGGAACACCAGUGGCGAAGGCGGCCAUCUGGGACAACACUGACGCUGAAGCACGAAAGCGUGGGGAGCAAACAGG
rnacentral:rRNA from 1 species